AAUGGGCGAGAGCCUGAACCAGCCAUGUCGCGUGCGGGACGACGGCCCUACGGGUUGUAAACCGCUUUUGUACGGGAAGAAAAACCCCGACGUGUCGGGGCUUGCCGGUACCGUACGAAUAAGGAACGGCUAACUCCGUGCCAGCAGCCGCGGUAAUACGGAGGAUCCGGNCGGUAUNCGGAUUUAUUGGGUUUAAAGGGUGCGUAGGCGGGCUUUUAAGUCAGCGGUGAAAGUUUUGCGCUCAACGUUAAAAUUGCCGUUGAUACUGGGGGCCUUGAGUGCGGUUGAGGUAGGCGGAAUGUGGUGUGUAGCGGUGAAAUGCUUAGAUAUGCCACAGAACACCGAUUGCGAAGGCAGCUUACUAAAGCGCAACUGACGCUGAUGCACGAAAGCGCGGGGAUCGAA
rnacentral:rRNA from 1 species